GGAGGGGGACGCGCGGGCUGGCUAGCUGGCCGGCCGGCCGUGAUGACUUUCU
rnacentral:precursor_RNA from 1 species